rnacentral:rRNA from 1 species
GAUGAACGCUGGCGGCGUGCCUAAUACAUGCAAGUCGAGCGAACGGACGAGAAGCUUGCUUCUCUGAUGUUAGCGGCGGACGGGUGAGUAACACGUGGAUAACCUACCUAUAAGACUGGGAUAACUUCGGGAAACCGGAGCUAAUACCGGAUAAUAUUUUGAACCGCAUGGUUCAAAAGUGAAAGACGGUCUUGCUGUCACUUAUAGAUGGAUCCGCGCUGCAUUAGCUAGUUGGCAAGGUAACGGCUUACCAAGGCAACGAUGCAUAGCCGACCUGAGAGGGUGAUCGGCCACACUGGAACUGAGACACGGUCCAGACUCCUACGGGAGGCAGCAGUAGGGAAUCUUCCGCAAUGGGCGAAAGCCUGACGGAGCAACGCCGCGUGAGUGAUGAAGGUCUUCGGAUCGUAAAACUCUGUUAUUAGGGAAGAACAUAUGUGUAAGUAACUGUGCACAUCUUGACGGUACCUAAUCAGAAAGCCACGGCUAACUACGUGCCAGCAGCCGCGGUAAUACGUAGGUGGCAAGCGUUAUCCGGAAUUAUUGGGCGUAAAGCGCGCGUAGGCGGUUUUUUAAGUCUGAUGUGAAAGCCCACGGCUCAACCGUGGAGGGUCAUUGGAAACUGGAAAACUUGAGUGCAGAAGAGGAAAGUGGAAUUCCAUGUGUAGCGGUGAAAUGCGCAGAGAUAUGGAGGAACACCAGUGGCGAAGGCGACUUUCUGGUCUGUAACUGACGCUGAUGUGCGAAAGCGUGGGGAUCAAACAGGAUUAGAUACCCUGGUAGUCCACGCCGUAAACGAUGAGUGCUAAGUGUUAGGGGGUUUCCGCCCCUUAGUGCUGCAGCUAACGCAUUAAGCACUCCGCCUGGGGAGUACGACCGCAAGGUUGAAACUCAAGGGAAUUGACGGGGACCCGCACAAGCGGUGGAGCAUGUGGUUUAAUUCGAAGCAACGCGAAGAACCUUACCAAAUCUUGACAUCCUUUGACAACUCUAGAGAUAGAGCCUUCCCCUUCGGGGGACAAAGUGACAGGUGGUGCAUGGUUGUCGUCAGCUCGUGUCGUGAGAUGUUGGGUUAAGUCCCGCAACGAGCGCAACCCUUAAGCUUAGUUGCCAUCAUUAAGUUGGGCACUCUAAGUUGACUGCCGGUGACAAACCGGAGGAAGGUGGGGAUGACGUCAAAUCAUCAUGCCCCUUAUGAUUUGGGCUACACACGUGCUACAAUGGACAAUACAAAGGGCAGCGAAACCGCGAGGUCAAGCAAAUCCCAUAAAGUUGUUCUCAGUUCGGAUUGUAGUCUGCAACUCGACUACAUGAAGCUGGAAUCGCUAGUAAUCGUAGAUCAGCAUGCUACGGUGAAUACGUUCCCGGGUCU